GACGAACGCUGGCGGCGUGCUUAACACAUGCAAGUCGAACGGAAAGGCCCCUUUGGGGGUACUCGAGUGGCGAACGGGUGAGUAACACGUGAGUAACCUGCCCUUCACUUCGGGAUAACUUCAGGAAACUGGGGCUCAUACCGGAUAGGAAUCCUUGCUGCCUGUUGGGGGUUGGAAAGCUUCGGCGGUUUUGGAUGGACUCGCGGCUUAUCAGCUUGUUGGUGGGGUAGUGGCUUACCAAGGCUUUGACGGGGAGCCGGCCUGAGAGGGCGACCGGCAGCAUUGGGACUGGGAUAGGGACAAGACUCCUACGGGGGGCAGCGGUGGGGAAUAUUGAACAAUGGGCGGAAGCAUGAGGCAGCAACGACGCGUGCGGGAUGACGGCCUUCGGGUUGAAAACCGCUUUCAGCAGGGGAGAAGCUUGUGGUGACGGUACCUGAAGAAGAAGCACCGGCUAACUACGUG
rnacentral:rRNA from 1 species